rnacentral:misc_RNA from 1 species
UAGUGAGUAGGAGACAAGGAUG